GCAGCUAUACCCAAGUGGUUACGGGGUGCCACUCAAGAGUCCUUUAUUGAGUUCUUCCAGCGAUUUGCUGGAGCUUUGGCAUGCAUAUGCAUCCUGGGUUCGAACCCCAGUGGCUGCA
rnacentral:tRNA from 1 species